AGGAUGAACGCUGGCGGCGUGCCUAACACAUGCAAGUCGAACGUCCUGUCUCGCAAGAGGCAGGGAGUGGCGGACGGGUGAGUACCACGUGGGUCAUCUACCGUGAGGUGAGGAAUACCGGCGAGAAAUCGCCGACAAGACCGCAUAGGCUCGAUGCAAGUCGAGCAAAGCUCUUUCGAGAGAGGGAGCGCCACACGAGGAGCCUGCGCCCGAUUAGCUAGCUGGUGGAGUAACGGUUCACCAGGGCGACGAUCGGUAGCUGGUCUGAGAGGACGAUCAGCCACACUGGGAUUGAGAACGGCCCAGACUCCUACGGGGGGCAGCAGUGAGGAAUUUUCGUCAAUGGGGGCAACCCUGAACGAGCAACGCCGCGUGCAGGAAGAAGGUUUCGGAUCGUAAACUGCUUUUCUCGGGGAAGAGAACGGACGGUACCCGAGGAAUCAGCCCCGGCUAACUACGUGCCAGCAGCCGCGGU
rnacentral:rRNA from 1 species